rnacentral:rRNA from 1 species
AGUGAACGCUGGCGGUAGGCCUAACACAUGCAGGUCGAACGGUAGCACAGUAAGAGCUUGCUCUUACGGGUGGCGAGUGGCGGACGGGUGAGGAAUACAUCGGAAUCUACUUUUUCGUGGGGGAUAACGUAGGGAAACUUACGCUAAUACCGCAUACGACCUACGGGUGAAAGCAGGGGAUCUUCGGACCUUGCGCGAUUGAAUGAGCCGAUGUCGGAUUAGCUAGUUGGCGGGGUAAAGGCCCACCAAGGCGACGAUCCGUAGCUGGUCUGAGAGGAUGAUCAGCCACACUGGAACUGAGACACGGUCCAGACUCCUACGGGAGGCAGCAGUGGGGAAUAUUGGACAAUGGGCGCAAGCCUGAUCCAGCCAUACCGCGUGGGUGAAGAAGGCCUUCGGGUUGUAAAGCCCUUUUGUUGGGAAAGAAAAGCAGCAGGUUAAUACCCCGCUGUUCUGACGGUACCCAAAGAAUAAGCACCGGCUAACUUCGUG